UGUAGAACAGAAUUCUAACAAAGAAGGCUUCCUUCCCAAAAGUGAUACCAAAGCUGAAGAUGGAAGGGUGCCCUGAAGUGCUUCGGACAGCACCUCUCCACAAAGCAGAGGGAGAUCUGCUGGGACUUGCAGAAUAGAAGAGAAACCCAGACAUCAGGCUGAUGGGGCUGCUCAACUGAGACAGUGGGCAUGGAGGUGUGGAGGUAAACUUAAGAGGAGAAAAGGUACAACUACUGUCUGGAAUAGUAUGAAUUAUCUUCAUUUAGGAAUGGAUAAAGAUGAAAAAAGGUAAAAUGGGUAAGAGUUACCCUCAUAUAAGAGACCCAAGAGGAUGUUACAUACCGCAGAAAAUCCAGUACACUGCCAGUCCUUACAGUAGAAACUGAAAAUGCACGUGCAGCAAUGUCAAUGACCAAGGUUAUCCAAGCAGCAGUUUGCAGUCCUAAUAAAUGUCUGGAAGCUAAU